rnacentral:rRNA from 1 species
AACAAUGCCUAGGCCACCCUGAACAUGCCUGAUCCCGUCUGAUCUCAGAAGCUAAGCAGAUUUGGGCCUGGUUAGUACUUGGGGGGGAGACCACCUAGGAAAACCAAGUGCUGUAGGUA